GGGGUUGUGGCUUGGAGGUAGAGCACUUGCCUAGCAUGUGUGAGGCCCUGGGUUCGAUCCCCAGCACCA
rnacentral:tRNA from 1 species